CAACGCCGAGAUCAAAAGAUGCACAUACUUUGGUCGCAUAAAGGGGUGCACUCUAAUCAAGCGCAUCGGUUGCUUACCUCGCCGCCUGCUCCCGCACAAUCCCCGACGUCGCGCGCGCCGGCGACCCGCUAUCGCUCGGUCGCGGGCGGCAGUGCCGAGCUAGCUACGACGGCAAAUGCACGCUCAAUUUCGCUCCCGCCUAUCCGCUAAUACCCCAUAUUAUAUUUUAUUAGUUCGCGAAUCUCUUCUAGUAUCUGUUCUUAAUUCUUUACUCGUGUCUACUUCUUCUAUCAUAUGCCUGUACCAUACUUUGCUGUAAAGCUUAUGAUUGUGGGAUAUAAUAAACGCUUUAAACCAACGGUUUGUCGUCAUUUAACAUCACCCACAAGUGGUGACCCCGAACAAAGAACUUAAGACUCAAGAAAGCAAUGGAGGACGGUGCCGGUGGUAAAGGAAACGCGGCUGAUGGAGAGCAACGCGAUAUUUGGCGUGUUGGAGUGAGAAUACCGCCAUUUUAUCCUGAAGAUCCGGAAUUGUGGUUUAAUCAGAUAGAAGCGCAGUUUGUAUUGUCAAAUAUAACCAGUGACACGACGAAAUUUUAUUAUGCCGUUACACAGCUAGAACCUACGUACGUUUCGCACGUUAAAGAUGUACUAAGGGCACCUCCUGCGACCGGCAAAUUCGAAAAACUCAAAAACGAGCUUGUUAAGCGGCUUAGUGCGUCGAAAGAGAAGAAGCUACAGCAGCUGUUCCUGAACGAGGAUAUUGGUGACCGUAAGCCAUCACAUUUCUUAAGACAUUUAAGGAACCUAGCCGGUCCAACAGUUUCGGAUGACGUUUUAAUGACCUUAUGGACCGGACGCUUGCCACAUAAUUUGCAAACAGUCGUUGCGUCGCAGCCUAAGCUAUCAUUAGACGAUCUAGCCGAGUUAGCAGACCGCGUGCACGAAAUAGCUCCAGCAAUGCCGCAUCAACAAGUAGCUAUGGCUUCAACUUCCUUGCAACCAGCAUCAAUUUCAAACAUUGACAGCUUGCAGCAGGAAAUAUGUGCUUUAACUAGGGAAGUCGCUAAACUAACCUCUUAUGUCCACAGGCAGUCAAGGGCGCAUUCCAGAUCUAGGUCGCAGGAAAACCAUAAUCGCAAGCGUAGUCACUCGCGCAAUCGUCAGCCACCGCCUGACCAUCCUCAUUGCUGGUAUCAUUAUAACUUUGGUGCGAGAGCCAAGAAGUGUACAGAGCCAUGUGAGUUUAGAGCGGGAAACGACGGGGGCAGCCGGAAGUAGCGGCCAGCGACUGCCCAGCUCAAACGGGCCGUCUCUUUGUGACAGAUCGUACCUCUAAGAUGCAGUUCCUCAUAGACACCGGAUCAGAUUUGUGCGUAUACCCGCGCUCAGCAAUAAAGGCACCCAGUAGCAAAGAAACCAGCGUCUCGUGGACGGGAAGACAUCUCUCUCUGUGUCCGUGCCCCGACAAAUAAUACCAGAGAGCAUAAUCUCCAUCAAGACAGUCACUGGCGAGUCUGAGUAUCAUAAUAUACUGCGCGAGUAUCCUGAAGUCACACGCCCCACUGGGCUGGU